AUUAUAAAUUUGAGAUUUUAAAAUUUUAAAAUUUAAUUUUGAUUUUUAAAAUUUAAAAGUUUAUAUUUUAAAUUUUAAAAUUAAAAUAUAAAAUAUAAAAAUUCUAAUUCUAAUAUAAAGAAAAGAAUAAUAUUAUUAUUUUUUAUUUAUAACUACCCACUUUAAUUCUUAUUCUAUCUUAUCUUAUCAAACGCUAUUUUUCUUAUUUUAAAAAAUAACUUAAUUUUCAUCUAAACGCAAAAUUAAUCUAAUCUCUCCUUAUAUCUCAAUUUAUACCUAUUUUCAGAAUACCCAUUUUUUACUUAUUUUCGAACCAAACGGUACCUUAGAAAAUAAGCUCUCUCGAGACAAGUUUUUGUACCAGAAAAGAGUG
rnacentral:lncRNA from 1 species